CGUAGGUAACCUGCCUGGUAGCGGGGGGUAACUAUUGGAAACGAUAGCUAAUACCGCAUAACAUUGACUAUUGCAUGAUAGUCAAUUGAAAGGUGCAAAUGCACCACUACCAGAUGGACCUGCGUUGUAUUAGCUAGUUGGUGGGGUAACGGCUCACCAAGGCGACGAUACAUAGCCGACCUGAGAGGGUGAUCGGCCACACUGGGACUGAGACACGGCCCAG
rnacentral:rRNA from 1 species